rnacentral:rRNA from 1 species
AGUGUGCUGGCUCUCUAGGGAGCAUUGUGCUAUGUCGUCUUUAUAUCUCCACCUGUGCACCUGUGCACCUUGUGUAGACCUGGAUAAAAAUCUCUGAAUGCUAGUUGUUCAGGUUUGAGGAUUGAUGGUUUUUGUCUCUUCCUUACAUUUUCCAGGCCUAUGUUUCUUCAUAUACCCCAAGUGUAUGUUAUCAGAAUGUAAUUCCAAAUGGGUCUCUGCGCCUAUAAAACUUUAUACAACUUUCAGCAACGGAUCUCUUGGCUCUCGCAUCGAUGAAGAACGCAGCGAAAUGCGAUAAGUAAUGUGAAUUGCAGAAUUCAGUGAAUCAUCGAAUCUUUGAACGCACCUUGCGCUCCUUGGUAUUCCGAGGAGCAUGCCUGUUUGAGUGUCAUUAAUAUAUAUCAACCUCUGCAGCUUUUUGUUUGUUGAGUGUUGGAUGUGGGGGGUUUUCUUCUGUUGGCCUUUCUAAGGUCAACUCCCCUAAAAUGUAUUAGCAGAAUCAGCUCGUUCAUUGGUGUGAUAAAUAUCUACACUAUAAUGGACAUUAAGCAGUUCAGCUUCUAAUAGUCCAUUGACUUGACAA